rnacentral:rRNA from 2 species
GGGAUUUAGUAGACAGAAGCUUCGGUGGAAGAUUACUAAUGAGAGUGGCGAACGGGUGAGUAACGCGUGAGCAACCUGCCUAUGACAGUGGGAUAGCCUCGGGAAACCGGGAUUAAUACCGCAUAAAAUCGUAGAAACACAUGUUUUAGCGGUCAAAGAUUUAUCGGUCAUAGAUGGGCUCGCGUCUGAUUAGCUAGUUGGUGAGAUAACAGCCCACCAAGGCGACGAUCAGUAGCCGGUCUGAGAGGAUGAACGGCCACAUUGGAACUGAGACACGGUCCAAACUCCUACGGGAGGCAGCAGUGGGGAAUAUUGCACAAUGGGGGAAACCCUGAUGCAGCGACGCCGCGUGAACGAAGAAGGUAUUCGUAUCGUAAAGUUCUGUCCUAUGGGAAGAUAAUGACAGUACCAUAGAAGAAAGCUCCGGCUAAAUACGUGCCAGCAGCCGCGGUAAUACGUAUGGAGCGAGCGUUGUCCGGAAUUAUUGGGCGUAAAGGGUACGCAGGCGGUUUAAUAAGUCGAAUGUUAAAGAUCGGGGCUCAACCCCGCAAAGCAUUGGAAACUGAUAAACUUGAGUAGUGGAGAGGAAAGUGGAAUUCCUAGUGUAGUGGUGAAAUACGUAGAUAUUAGGAGGAAUACCAGUAGCGAAGGCGACUUU